UGGGGAAUAUUGGACAAUGGGCGCAAGCCUGAUCCAGCAAUGCCGCGUGUGUGAAGAAGGCCUUCGGGUUGUAAAGCACUUUUAUCAGGAGCGAAACGCUGUCGGCUAAUACCCGGCGGAACUGACGGUACCUGAGGAAUAAGCACCGGCUAACUUCGUGCCAGCAGCCGCGGUAAUACGAAGGGGUGCAAGCGUUAAUCGGAAUUACUGGGCGUAAAGCGUGCGUAGGCGGUUUCUUAGUCUGCUGUGAAAUCCCCGGGCUCAACCUGGGAAUGCAGUGGAUACUGGGAGGCUAGANUGUGUCAGAGGGUGGUGGAAUUCCCGGUGUAGCGGUGAAAUGCGUAGAGAUCGGGAGGAACAUCAGUGGCGAAGGCGGCCACCUGGGACAACACUGACGCUGAGGCACGAAAGCGUGGGGAGCAAACAGGAUUAGAUACCCUGGUAGUCCACGCCCUAAACGAUGCGAACUGGAUGUUGGUCUCAACUCGGAGAUCAGUGUCGAAGCUAGCGCGUUAAGUUCGCCGCCUGGGGAGUACGGUCGCAAGACUGAAACUUAAAUGAAUUGAC
rnacentral:rRNA from 1 species